UAUAUGUAUGUAUAUGUAUUAAAGUUCAUAAAAUAUUUUUGAAAACUAUGCAUGAGGGUAGUUGUAGAUGGCGUUUAGAUAUAGACCUUAGAAUAUUCUAAAGUCGACGAGACAGAUGGCUUCAGUUUGGCGUUGGUUUGGCGUUGGCGCGAAUAGUGGUGUGGUUGCUGUGGUUGGUAGGAAUUGUUGGCAAUGGCAACGAUCUUAUAAAUUCAGUUUGAAUUUGAAUUGGAUUCAUUAGAUAUAUGUAAUGAAAUGGCUCCCAUCAGAAAGACUAGGAGUAGCUCAAGGCGAUCUUCUAUUCUUAAGCCUUCUAAACCACGACAGCCAUUACAGAAUUUAAAUGUCACUAGUUUAUCUACUGAAAGUAGUCCAGCAACUACAACAAAGCUUAAACGACGUGUCAGCUUUGCAGAAACAAAACAUGUGAAAGAAUUCUGUAAUUCGUUGGAGCAAGGCACUGUGUGGAAUAAUACGUACGAAGAACAUGAUAUAAGUAAUCUUAAUGUACUAUGCAUUCCUAACAAAGAAUGUGAUGUUGGAAAUGUGUGUAAAACAAAUGUAGAAAUUAGAACAGAUCAUUAUAAUGAAGUAAGGUAUAGUAAUUCUCAAACUGUUGAUAAACUUGCCAUUACGGACACUAGAAUAUGUUUCACUCGUGAUGAAAUAAUUCAAGAAAGUCUGAUUGCAAUAGAUCAUGAAGAAGUUUGUAGAAGUAUAUCCAGGAAAACAGAAUCAACAUACAAACAGCCAACUAAGAAAGAAAUGUUGCUAGAUGCAUCCUCAAUAAUUAAUUGUAAUAUAACAGCACAGAUAAAUGAACAUGCUGUUCUUCCUGGAAAUACUAAUGAUGAUUCCAUGGAAAUUACUACAGUAGUAUCUACUAAACCAUAUACUUUGCAAGAAACCAAUAUGUAUCAACAGGAUACUCGAAAUUUCAAUGAUGUCCCAAAAGAGAUGACUGCUGCAUUAAUUACUGGACUAUGUAAUUUACAAAGAGAAACAUCAUACGCAAAACCCCCAAAAAAUUGCAAUGAUGUUUCAAUGGAGAUGACAACUACAGUACCAACUAUACCAUGUAAUUUGCAAAAAGAAACAUUAUUCGCGGAGCGUACCAAAAAUUUGAAGGAUGUUUCGAUGGAGAUGACGACAGCAGUAUCUACUAAAUUAUGCAGUUUGCAACAAGACACACCAUACGCGGAGUGCACCAAAAAUUUCAAGGAUGUUUCAAUGGAAAUUACUGCUGUUGUACCUACUAAACCAUACAAUUUGCAGCAAGUAGAAUCAAACGCGAUGGACAACAAAAAUUACAAUGAUGUUUCAAUGGAGCUGACAAGCACAGCAUCAAACAUACCAUGUAAUUUGCAAAAAGAAACAUUAUUCGCGGAGCGUACCAAAAAUUUGAAGGAUGUUUCGAUGGAGAUGACGACAGCAGUAUCUACUAAAUUAUGCAGUUUGCAACAAGACACACCAUACGCGGAGUGCACCAAAAAUUUCAAGGAUGUUUCAAUGGAAAUUACUGCCGUUGUACCUACUAAACCAUACAAUUUGCAGCAAGUAGAAUCAAACGCGAUGGCCAACAAAAAUUACAAUGAUGUUUCAAUGGAGCUGACAAGCACAGCAUCAAACAUAGCAUGUAAUUUGCAAAAAGAAACAUUAUUCGCGGAGCGUACCAAAAAUUUGAAGGAUGUUUCGAUGGAGAUGACGACAGCAGUAUCUACUAAAUUAUGCAGUUUGCAACAAGACACACCAUACGCGGAGUGCACCAAAAAUUUCAAGGAUGUUUCAAUGGAAAUUACUGCCGUUGUACCUACUAAACCAUACAAUUUGCAGCAAGUAGAAUCAAACGCGAUGGACAACAAAAAUUACAAUGAUGUUUCAAUGGAGCUGACAAGCACAGCAUCAAACAUACCAUGUAAUUUGCAAAAAGAAACAUUAUUCGCGGAGCGUACCAAAAAUUUGAAGGAUGUUUCGAUGGAGAUGACGACAGCAGUACCUACCAAAUUAUGCAGUUUGCAACAAGACACACCAUACGCGGAGUGCACCAAAAAUUUCAAGGAUGUUUCAAUGGAAAUUACUGCCGUUGUACCUACUAAACCAUACAAUUUGCAGCAAAUAGAAUCAAACGCGAUGGCCAACAAAAAUUACAAUGAUGUUUCAAUGGAGCUGACAAGCACAGCAUCAAACAUAGCAUGUAAUUUGCAAAACGAAACAUUAUUCGUGGGACGUACUAAUAAUUUGAAGGAUGUUUCGAUGGAGAUGAUGACUACAGUACCAACCAUACCAUGCAAUUUACAAAAAGAAGCAUUAUUCGCGGAGCGUACCAAAAAUUUGAAGGAUGUUUCGAUGGAGAUGACGACUGCAGUACCUACUAAAUUAUGCAAUUUGCAACAAGACACACCAUACGCGGAGUGCAUCAAAAAUUUCAAGGAUGUUUCAAUGGAAAUUACUGCUGUUGUACCUACUAAACCAUACAAUUUGCAGCAAGUAGAAUCAAACGCGAUGGCCAACAAAAAUUACAAUGAUGUUUCAAUGGAGGUGACAACUAUAGUACCAACCAUAUCAUGCAAUUUGCAAAAAGGAACAUUACUCGCGGAGCGUACCAAAAAUUUGACGGAUGUUACGAUGGAGAUGACGACUGCAGUACCUACUAAAUUAUGCAGUUUGCAACAAGACACAUCAUACGCAGAGUGCACCAAAAAUUUGAGGGAUGUUUCGAUGGAGAUGACGACAGCAGUACCUACUAAAUUAUGCAGUUUGCAACAAGACACACCAUACGCGGAGUGCACCAAAAAUUUCAAGGAUGUUUCAAUGGAAAUUACUGCUGUUGUACCUACUAAACCAUACAAUUUGCAGCAAGUAGAAUCAAACGCGAUGGCCAACAAAAAUUACAAUGAUGUUUCAAUGGAGGUGACAACUAUAGUACCAACCAUAUCAUGCAAUUUGCAAAAAGGAACAUUACUCGAGGAGCGUACCAAAAAUUUGAAGGAUGUUUCGAUGGAGAUGACGACUGCAGUACCUACUAAAUUAUGCAAUUUGCAACAAGACACACCAUACGCAGAGUGCACCAAAAAUUUCAAGGAUAUUUCAAUGGAAAUUACUGCUGUUGUACCUACUAAACCAUGUAAUUUGCAGCAAGCAAAUUCAAACGCGAAGGCCAACAAAAAUUACAAUGAUGUUUCAGUGCAGAUGACAAGCACAGCACCAACCAUACCAUGCAAUCUGCAAAACGAAACAUUAUUCGCGGGAUGUACUAAUAAUUUGAAGGAUGUUUCGAUGGAGAUGACAACUACAGUACCAACCAUACCAUGCAAUUUGCAAAAAGAAACAUUACUCGCGGGGCGCACCAAAAUUUUGAAGGAUGUUUCGAUGGAGAUGACGACUGCAGUACCUACUAUAUUAUGCAGUUUGCAACAAGACUCACCAUACAUGGAGCAUACUAAAAAUUUCAAAGAUGUUUCAAUGGAAAUGACUGUUGCAGUACCUAUUGAAUCACAUAAUUUACAAGAAGAAGAACCAUACGUGACGUCUAAUAAAAAUCACAAUAAUGUAUCAAUAGAUACGACAACUGCAGUACCAACUAGACCAUGUACUGUGCAAAAAGGAACAUUAUGCAGGGAGCAUACCAAAAAUUUCAAGGAUGUUUCAAUGGAAAUGACUGUUGCAGUUCAAACUAAAUUAUGCAGUUUGCAAAGAGACGCAUCAUCCGAAGCACGUAUCAAAGUCACAUAUGAUUUGCAAGAAGUAAGACAUAACAAUGAUAAAACAUCUACUAUUUGCCAUGAUGCAUCAGUGGAUGUGCUUCAAAUGCAUUCAAGUGAUUUGAAUAUGGAAUCAGAUAAAAACAAAAUAGUUGGCGAUAAUUUAAUGGCAGUCACAGCUGUGGUACCUUUUCUAAAUCAAAUGAAUGUGUCUGAAGAAAGAGUGGAGUAUUGUGACACAAAUAUUCAAAAGUCUGAAGAAGUUGCUGUACCACCUUUACACAAUAUUCCUGAAAGAACUGAUGCUGUUACGAAUUUGUCGGAGGUCAGACAAACAAUACUACCUGAAAAGGUUGACAACAGAACUUCUUCUAGAGAUUCCUUAAAUCAAAUUACUACAUCUGAUAAUGUCCUAAAAGAUAUUACUAUUUUAGUAGUUCCCUCUUUGUUAAAUUCAAGUGAAUCGUCAAAAGAAAAGAAUUGCACAAUAAAUAAAUCAGAAAACUCGGAAGAUAAAAUUAUCAAGGAACCUACUUCAAGUGAACUUCCAAAUCUAGUAAAUAUUGAAACUCACACGGCUAUGCAUGAUUCGUUGAUGCAAGAUAUUUGUGCUUCAGCUUUAAAUAAAGAUAACACAGGGUCAGCUUGUGCUACACUUAACACUGCAUCAAAUGAUUUCCUAUGCACUGUAAUGCCAGAUGUUAGUCAAGGAACAUUCUUGUCACAUGAACACUCACAAGAUAUUUUACCACAUCCUCGAAGAACUUACACUAUAAAACCAUUAAGCAUCGAUCAUUCUUUCCCAAAUACUAGUAAUGAACAUAGUAAGAAUUUGGGAACGAGUCACGAUGUUCAAGAUGUAAAUAGUUUCCAGACUCAAGCUUCAUUCGAAAAUUGUAGCACAUUCUUUGAUAGAACUGUAGAGCAAUUGGAGUCAAUUAAGCCACCGUCGUUUCUUUGCUUAGAUAACUCUGUUGAAGAUGUAUCUGUGAAUACUAAUUACGGCCAGGAGGUUGAAACAGAAAAAGAAAUUGUCUCAUCUUUAAACAUUAUUGAGGGUUUACCUGGAGUAACUAAAUGCCGAGAAACUCAAAAACUUGAUCUGCAAGAAGUUGUAAAUGAAUCUGGAAAGCAAAAUAGUCUAGAAACGUCACAUUUUCGACUAUUACAUGGCGGUAGUCCUAGCACAAUAGUUAAAGAUUUGGAAUGUUCCUCGUCAACAAUGAAUAAUAACCAGAUAAUUUCCACAACAAUUAAUGUUAUCAGUCCAUCUCGAAAUGAAGAUACGCACAGUAAUUCUAAUAUAGAGAAUGAAACUAUGGAACAGUCUGUCGUGGAUAAAGAUCUUUGUAAAGCUUACACUGAAGAAAAUCAUCUUCAAAGUGAUGAACUUAAAUUACACAAAAUUACAAUGGAAAUAGAGUUGGAAGAAAUUGAUCCACAAGCUUCUCUUGUAGAUAAAGAUGUCACAAUUGAACUAGAUCCAUUUUCUUCAUUGUUGAAGGAACUACGUGCUUGUGCUGAAAGUGAUAAUAUUAUUUGGGAAAUAUACCAUGAAAAUAUUGAGAAGAAAAUGUUCAUAGCAGGAUUUAUGUCUUGUUCUCUAUUAUUAGUAAUAUAUUUGAGAGAUGAUUAUGAUGAUGUCUUAGGUAGUCAAUUUAUUAAAGAUGUUAAGAUGAUUUCUCGUUUGGCAGAUGAUGCGGGCGAUUUAAUAAGUAUAGUUCACAAGCUAAUUUUAGAAAAAAUAGACGUCAGAAAAUUAAUUGAUUUGUAUAAAAGUGUUAAUGAUAUUCUAUUAAUGUUGGAUCAUGUAUCAAAGGAAGUAAAACUAGCCAUGGAAUUCAUGUUUGAACUGGACCGAUUGAAAGAUAGAAAUUUAAUGGACAUAACGCGGGAUAGUGUAUCUUUUGUUUCUCUUACUAAAAAGAUGGAUAUUAUAUUGAGGGUAACAGUGAUUCUUAAACCAUUUGAAAACAUUGAAUCUGAGGAUAUCAGUGUACAAUUUUUAUCAGGCUCAUCAGGCUCUGUGAGAGAGGAAGUAAUUAAAAAGUUACUGAAGAAUAUAAAAAAGGAUCAUAAUUUUUUGAGAAGGUUCAUCAAUGAUGUGCGAGAUUAUAUAUACUUGAUGGAGGUGUGUGAUGCUCCAACUAAAGUGCCAUACUAAUGUGCCUGCUGCAAUAAUUGUAAAUGCAAUAAUUGAACGGAAAAUAUUCGUAACUUGAGGAACGCGUUAAUUUUAUUAUAUUAUUUUAAUAUCAUUAUGUUAUUGCAGUUGGACUGCAUAAUAAAAUAUUUUAUAAUUUUCGAACAAACUACUUGUAGAUUUAAUAUAUUGGUCAGAAGAUCAUAGACUAUUCUUUGUUGCUCAAAUUACUUUAGGAAUCACAACAGCAUCCUACCUUUUAAAUAUCCGCUCGUAAAAUCGAGCUACUGGCUUGAAGUUACGAGUAAAGGUCGAUCAACUAGCUGACUGGUAGCCGGUUCAGUCGAAGCAGCUUUUUGUGGAAGCAUUUGCGGCCCUUUCGAUAGUAUCGUGUGAACAGCCACUUCCAUUCGCAGAAUCAUUUGAGUUUCUGCUUUGUUCUUUGAGAUUCUUGACUAUUUUUAGCCUUAAAAGGAACAGACCGAGUCAUCCGGAGGAUUUUAAGAACGACUACCAAGGCGUUCGAUUGAUGCAGACAUCAUCUUCGACCGCUGUUCAAGCCAUUACAUAAACCGUGAAUUUACGAACUAAAUUCCUGGGAAAUUUGUAUACAAUGAACCCCUCGAUCAAGCUGUCACGGGGACCACGGGGAGCCGCUUCUCCUUGGCCUUUCUUGUCCUGCAAAAAUUACUUUUGUUCCAGUCGAAGCGAGCCGCCUGGUUCAAUGGCAUCUGGGAGAAGCAUUCUUCAUCUUCGAUUUCUGCUUCCGUAAAAAGACUAUCUUUACGCCCAAUAAUCGUUCUGUCUUCUUUCCUCAAGCGUCGUCGUAUCUUUCAGAUAUUUUCGAAGUCGCAUCGCCGCGUAAAUCAUUGUGCAAAAACAGUGAUUAUAUGCGGAGGACUGGAAUCUACGAAACUUCCGGUAAACGCGGAGAAACUAAGAGAUUGCUGGAGCAAGGAGAGAGAAA